UACGGGGGGAGCAAACGUUGUUCGGAAUCACUGGGCGUAAAGGGCGUGUAGGCGGUUCGGUAAGUGGAAUGUGAAAUCCCCCGGCUUACCCGGGGAACUGCAUCCCAUACUGCUGGACUUGAGUGCGGGAGAGGAUGGAGGAAUUCCUGGUGUAGCGGUGAAAUGCGUAGAUAUUAGGAAGAACACCAGUGGCGAAGGCGGCUUACUGGACUGUAACUGACGCUGAGUCACGAAAGCGUGGGGAGCGAACAGG
rnacentral:rRNA from 1 species